rnacentral:rRNA from 1 species
UGAGUAACCUGCCCUGGACUUUGGGAUAACCCUCGGAAACGGGGGCUAAUACCGGAUAUGACACGCUCUCGCAUGGGAUGUGUGUGGAAAGUUUUUCGGUCUGGGAUGGGCUCGCGGCCUAUCAGCUUGUUGGUGGGGUGAUGGCCUACCAAGGCGACGACGGGUAGCCGGCCUGAGAGGGCGACCGACCACACUGGGACUGAGACACGGCCCAGACUCCUACGGGAGGCA